UGUGGGAGGGGGCUUGCUCCCGAUUGCGUUGUGUCAGUCGCCUAUGUAUCGACUGAUGCACUGCCAUCGGGGGCAAGCCCCCUCCCACA
rnacentral:antisense_RNA from 2 species